AUUGAAAUAGCUCAGUUGGGAGAGCGUUAGACUGAAGAUCUAAAGGUCCCUGGUUUAAAUCCGGGUUUCCGCA